rnacentral:rRNA from 1 species
UGGGGAAUUUUGGACAAUGGGCGAAAGCCUGAUCCAGCAAUGCCGCGUGUGUGAAGAAGGCCUUCGGGUUGUAAAGCACUUUUGUCCGGAAAGAAAUCCUUGGCUCUAAUACAGUCGGGGGAUGACGGUACCGGAAGAAUAAGCACCGGCUAACUACGUGCCAGCAGCCGCGGUAAUACGUAGGGUGCAAGCGUUAAUCGGAAUUACUGGGCGUAAAGCGUGCGCAGGCGGUUUGCUAAGACCGAUGUGAAAUCCCCGGGCUCAACCUGGGAACUGCAUUGGUGACUGGCAGGCUAGAGUAUGGCAGGAGGGGGGUAGAAUUCCACGUGUAGCAGUGAAAUGCGUAGAGAUGUGGAGGAAUACCGAUGGCGAAGGCAGCCCCCUGGGCCAAUACUGACGCUCAUGCACGAAAGCGUGGGGAGCAAACAGGAUUAGAUACCCUGGUAGUCCACGCCCUAAACGAUGUCAACUAGUUGUUGGGGAUUCAUUUCCUUAGUAACGUAGCUAACGCGUGAAGUUGACCGCCUGGGGAGUACGGUCGCAAGAUUAAAACUUAAAUGAAUUGACGGGGUCAUAGCUGUUUCCU